CUCAGAUGCAAACCUUGGACUCUUGUGGAAGGAGGGCAGGCCCACAGGCCUGAUAUCAAGAGAGAGUUGGUCUCAAAACCUUUGUGGCCACUGUGUAAGGGAAGAGCAGAAGCACAGAGCCCUGUCCUGACUGUCUGCGUUGGGCUGCACACAGUGUAAACACUAGACAACACGCAGUCCCCUCUAAAUCUUCAGAAAGUGUGUACAAGAAAAUAUGUACAUAAUCACUUCAGAAAGUUUAAAAUAACCUCUUAAAAAGUGUACACAGGAUUUAAAACGUCUCAGGAAUUGCUGCCCUACUAUGAGGAAUGUGAUGUUGCCGAUGGCUGUGCAAGCUGUUGCCUCUGUCUUCUCUGGAAUGGACUCAGAGGCACAUAGCCAUGACACGCCUUGCCAACCCAUGGCAAAGCUGCCAGGUGACCCCAAGAGUUGCAGAGGGGAAAGGUACAGGCCCUGGGGGAAAGCACUGCAGCUAAAGGAAGAUUUCUGGCUGAGACAUUUAUUCCAAUAUCAAAGGGAAGAUCUCUUCAUUUUGACCCCCACAGAAUUUCAACAGACUGAUUUAUGGGAAUUCCUGACCUGGAGAUGUGUGCAGAACUUUGUACAGUGGUGUUGGCUGCCCUCUGUACCCUGACACACAUCCAGUUGCCUGCAGUGUCAGCACUAUGAAAGAGGCCCACCCAGCUUAAAGAACUUGUGUCAGCUCUAGGGAAGCGGAGAUAGGAGAAUCCCGAGGUCUCCUGGCCAAGCAGCCUAAUUGGUGAGUUCCAGACCAACCAGAGACUCAGUCUCAAAGAAGGUGGACUGUGUUCCUGAAGGUGACAACACCCCAGGACUACCAUGGAUGUGACAGACUCAGUUCAGAUCAAAAUUGCAGCAGUUUUUAGAAAUUGACCAUUUAAAAUGUGUGAGAUGAAAAUGACCUAGAAGAUAGUGGAAUUGUCAGAACAGAGUUGGAGGGCCCUUGCUCCUGUUUUCAAGGCUUCAUCCUACAGUUAUCGAACUGGUAUCCAGGGAGACCUAUACAAAGAGCCAUGUUCAAGUAAUCCACAAGGGAGCCUGGCCAACUUGGUCAGGAAAGAGGAACCCAUUCAACAAUAAUGCUGGCAGAAUUGCAAGUACAAUUAGGGAAAAUUAACAAACAACUAAAAUCUGAAGUGAAUAAGUUUUAAGUCUAAAACUAAAACUACAGGGCAACUAGAAGUCAGGAUCAGCAUUGUCACUUUCACAUAAAAAGAUAUUCCCUGGAGCACAGAGUGUGCAAACUAUAAAAGGGAAACUCGUCAUUGGACUUUUUGAGUGUGCUUUUCAUAUAAUGUGGUUAGGAAAAUUAGACGCAAGUACUCAAAUGGAAGAAAAUACAAUAUUUUUUGACAUUUUGUGGGCUGGGCAAUACAUCCCUGCUGGUGUAUAUGGAGUCCAGAGGACAAGUUUUGAGAGUCCUUUCCUUCCACCAUGUGAGUCCUGGGAUCAAACUCAGGUCAUCAGGCUUGGCAGCAAGGGCCUCACAAUGAAUCUGUCAAAGACCUUAUAAAUUUAGAAUAUGUAAAAAGGCUCAUAUAACUCAGGAUUAUGACAGCUUCAAAGUACCUUCAUAAGAGAGAAUGUAUGAAUGGCCAAUGAGUACACGAAAAGAUGCUGAGUGUCAUUAGUCACCAAGAAAAUGCAAAUCGGUGAGCUCCCACUGCACACUUAGAAUGUGCACAGAUGGACAGCACAACGUUAGUUGGUUCAGCAUAAGGAAUUCAGUGUACCGGUGGUAGAACAGAGGCGGAAUGAU
rnacentral:lncRNA from 1 species